UGGGGAAUAUUGCACAAUGGAGGGAACUCUGAUGCAGCGACGCCGCGUGAACGAAGAAGGCUUUCGAGUCGUAAAGUUCUUUUAUAUGGGAAGAUAAUGACGGUACCAUAAGAAAAAGUCCCGGCUAACUACGUGCCAGCAGCCGCGGUAAUACGUAGGGGGCUAGCGUUGUCCGGAAUCACUGGGCGUAAAGGGUUCGCAGGCGGAAAUGCAAGUCAGGUGUAAAAGGCAGUAGCUUAACUACUGUAAGCAUUUGAAACUGCAUAUCUUGAGAAGAGUAGAGGUAAGUGGAAUUUUUAGUGUAGCGGUGAAAUGCGUAGAUAUUAAAAAGAAUACCGGUGGCGAAGGCGACUUACUGGGCUCAUUCUGACGCUGAGGAACGAAAGCGUGGGUAGCAAACAGG
rnacentral:rRNA from 2 species